GACGAACGCUGGCGGCGCGCCUAACACAUGCAAGUCGAACGGAGCUGCGAGAAGCUUGCUUUUCUUAGCUUAGUGGCGAACGGGUGAGUAACGCGUGCGUAACCUGCCCUGGAGUGGGGGACAACAGUUGGAAACGACUGCUAAUACCGCAUAAGCCCACGAUCCGGCAACGGCAUGAGGGAAAAGGAUUUAGUCGCUUCAGGAUGGACUCGCGUCCAAUUAGCUAGUUGGUGAGGUAACGGCCCACCAAGGCGACGAUUGGUAGCCGGGCUGUGAGGUGGGGCCGCCACAUUGGGACUGAGCCACGGUCCAGACUCCUACGGGAGGCAGCAGUGGGUGAUACUGCACAAUGGGGUGAACCCUGAUGCAGCGACGCCGCGUGGGCGAAGAAGGUUUUCGGAUUGUAAACUCCUGUAGUUAGGGACGAUAAUGACGGUACCUAACAAGAAAGCACCGGCUAACUACGUG
rnacentral:rRNA from 1 species